rnacentral:rRNA from 1 species
GACGAACGCUGGCGGCGCGCCUAACACAUGCAAGUCGAACGAGCGAGAGAGAGCUUGCUUUCUCGAGCGAGUGGCGAACGGGUGAGUAACGCGUGAGGAACCUGCCUCAAAGAGGGGGACAACAGUUGGAAACGACUGCUAAUACCGCAUAAGCCCACGACCCGGCAUCGGGUAGAGGGAAAAGGAGCAAUCCGCUUUGAGAUGGCCUCGCGUCCGAUUAGCUAGUUGGUGAGGUAACGGCCCACCAAGGCAACGAUCGGUAGCCGGACUGAGAGGUUGAACGGCCACAUUGGGACUGAGACACGGCCCAGACUCCUACGGGAGGCAGCAGUGGGGAAUAUUGCACAAUGGGGGAAACCCUGAUGCAGCGACGCCGCGUGGAGGAAGAAGGUCUUCGGAUUGUAAACUCCUGUUGUUGAGGAAGAUAAUGACGGUACUCAACAAGGAAGUGACGGCUA